UACGUAGGGGGCAAGCGUUGUCCGGAUUUAUUGGGCGUAAAGAGCGUGUAGGCGGUCAGGUAGGUCCGUUGUGAAAACUCGAGGCUCAACCUCGAGACGCCGAUGGAAACCAUCUGACUAGAGUCCGGAAGAGGAGAGUGGAAUUCCUGGUGUAGCGGUGAAAUGCGCAGAUAUCAGGAAGAACACCCGUGGCUAAGGCGGCUCUCUAGUACGGUACUGACGCUGAGACGCGAAAGCGUGGGGAGCGAACAGGAUUAAGAUACC
rnacentral:rRNA from 1 species